rnacentral:rRNA from 1 species
GAGCGAAGCGGGAAGAGCUCAAAUUUAUAAUCUGGCACCUUCGGUGUCCGAGUUGUAAUCUCUAGAAAUGUUUUCCGCGUUGGACCGCACACAAGUCUGUUGGAAUACAGCGGCAUAGUGGUGAGACCCCCGUAUAUGGUGCGGACGCCCAGCGCUUUGUGAUACAUUUUCGAAGAGUCGAGUUGUUUGGGAAUGCAGCUCAAAUUGGGUGGUAAAUUCCAUCUAAAGCUAAAUAUUGGCGAGAGACCGAUAGCGAACAAGUACCGUGAGGGAAAGAUGAAAAGCACUUUGGAAAGAGAGUUAACAGUACGUGAAAUUGUUGGAAGGGAAACGCUUGAAGUCAGACUUGCUUGCCGAGCAAUCGGUUUGCAGGCCAGCAUCAGUUUUCCGGGAUGGAUAAUGGUAGAGAGAAGGUAGCAGUUUCGGCUGUGUUAUAGCUCUCUGCUGGAUACAUCUUGGGGGACUGAGGAACGCAGUGUGCCUUUGGCGGGGGUUUCGACCUCUUCACA